rnacentral:rRNA from 1 species
UACGUAGGGUGCGAGCGUUAAUCGGAAUUACUGGGCGUAAAGCGUGCGCAGGCGGUUAUGUAAGACAGGUGUGAAAUCCCCGGGCUUAACCUGGGAACUGCAUUUGUGACUGCAUAGCUAGAGUACGGUAGAGGGGGAUGGAAUUUCGCGUGUAGCAGUGAAAUGCGUAGAUAUGCGGAGGAACACCGAUGGCGAAGGCAAUCCCCUGGACCUGUACUGACGCUCAUGCACGAAAGCGUGGGGAGCAAACAGG